AUUCACUGAAGCCUGAACCUAGGGGGAGGCAAAAUAACAACAACAAAAAAAUAAGUCUUUCAGAACUCAAAAUACAACUGGGAUUCACUGUCAAAUUUCCUGUCUUCCUGUAAAUGGGAAGAAUGGCUGGAAAGUUCUUGAUCACUAACUGGAAGCGAGAAGAAAAUGAUUCUAGACCUUUGGCUGCAAUGCUUACUUACUUGCAGGAAGAGGUUCACCUAUAAUGACUGAAGUUUAC
rnacentral:lncRNA from 1 species